rnacentral:rRNA from 1 species
UACGUAGGGGGCUAGCGUUGUCCGGAUUUAUUGGGCGUAAAGAGCGUGUAGGCGGCCAGAUAAGUCCGCUGUGAAAUCUCGAGGCUCAACUUCGAGCUGUCGGUGGAAACUAUCUGGCUAGAGUCCGGAAGAGGAGAAUGGAAUUCCGUGGUGUAGGCGGUGAAAAUGCGCAGAUAUCAGGAAGAACACCCGUGGCGAAGGCGGUUCUCUGGGACGGUACUGACGCUGAGACGCGAAAGCGUGGGGAGCGAACAGG